rnacentral:rRNA from 1 species
GACGCUUGAGGAUGAGUCUGCGUCCCAUUAGCUAGUUGGUGAGGUAAUGGCCCACCAAGGCUACGAUGGGUAGCUGGUCUGAGAGGAUGAUCAGCCUCACUGGAACUGACACACGGUCCAGACUCCUACGGGAGGCAGCAGUAGGGAAUAUUGCACAAUGGAGGAAACUCUGAUGCAGCGACGCCGCGUGAGUGAUGAAGGACUUCGGUUUGUAAAGCUCUGUUGUCAGGGAAUAAAAAAAUGAAUGUACCUGACGAGAAAGGACCGGCUAACUUCGUGCCAGCAGCCGCGGUAAUACGAGGGGUCCUAGCGUUGUUCGGAAUCAUUGGGCGUAAAGCGAGUGCGGGUGGCUCUUUAAGUCAGGAGUGAAAGCCCAGGGCUCAACCCUGGAAGUGCUUUUGAUACUGAAGAGCUUGAAUGUGGCAGAGGGUGCUAGAAUACCUAAUGUAGUGGUGAAAUACGUAGAUAUUAGGUGGAACACCGGUGGCGAAGGCGGGCACCUGGGCCAACAUUGACACUUAGACUCGAAANNGUNNNGNUCAAACAGGAUUAGAUACCCUGGUAGUCCACGCCGUAAACGAGGGAUACUUGGUGUUGGAGGUAUUGACCCCUUCAGUGCCGAAGCUAACGCGUUAAGUAUCCCCNNCUGGGAAGUACGGUCGCAAGAUUAAAACUCAAAGAAAUUGACGGGGGCCCGCACAAGCGGUGGAGCAUGUGGUUUAAUUCGAUGCAACGCGAAGAACCUUACCUGGGUUUGACAUGUACUGGAAGAUUACCAGAGAUGGUGUCGCCUUCGGGCCGGUACACAGGUGCUGCAUGGCUGUCGUCAGCUCGUGUCGUGAGAUGUUGGGUUAAGUCCCGCAACGAGCGCAACCCUUGCCAUUAGUUGCCAGCAUUUAGUUGGGCACUCUAAUGGGACUGCCGACGUUAAGUCGGAGGAAGGUGGGGAUGACGUCAAGUCCUCAUGGCCUUUAUAUCCAGGGCCACACACGUGCUACAAUGGUCGGUACAGAGGGAAGCUAAGUCGCAAGAUGGUGCUAACCCCAGAAAACCGAUCUAAGUUCGGAUUGGAGUCUGCAACUCGACUCCAUGAAGCUGGAAUCGCUAGUAAUCGUGGAUCAGAACGCCACGGUGAAUACGUUCCCGGGCCUU